AAGACGCCUAGCCUAGCCACACCCACACGGGACCCAGCAGUAAUUAACAUUAAGCAAUAAGCACCAACACCCCUAUCAGCUCGACUUAAUUAUGGUAUUAACAGGCCGGUAAACUUCGUGCCAGCCACCGCGGUUAUACGAAGGACCUUAAAUAAUAAACCCGGCACAAAACGUGACUAGAGCACAUAUUAACCCAUGAGGUAUAAACCCUUCCCCAGUUAUAAAAUACAAAGGUCUUCCGGAAACCCAUAAACCUCAUUUAACAUUAUUUCUUGACUCACGAAAGCCAAGACACAAACUGGGAUUAGAUACCCUACUAUGCUUAGCCAUAAACCUUGACAUUCCCCCAAUGUCUGCCAGAGCACUACAAGUGAAAAACUUAAAACUCAAAGGACUUGACGGUGUCCCACACCACCCUAGAGGAGCCUGUCCUACAAUCGAUACCCCACGAAACACCUCACCUUUUCUAGCACUUCAGUCUAUAUACCGCCGUCGUCAGUCUACCUUAUAAAAGAUUAACUAGUAGACAAAAUAGCCCCCACCCCAAAAACGUCAGGUCAAGGUGUAACUAAAGAAAAGGAAAGAGAUGGGCUACAUUUUCUAAUAAGAAAAUACCCAACACACCCUGAAAAAGUGCCAAAAGGUGGAUUUAGCA
rnacentral:rRNA from 1 species